GAUGAACGCUGGCGGCGUGCCUAAUACAUGCAAGUCGAGCGAACGGACGAGGAGCUUGCUCCUCUGACGUUAGCGGCGGACGGGUGAGUAACACGUGGAUAACCUACCUAUAAGACUGGGAUAACUUCGGGAAACCGGAGCUAAUACCGGAUGAUAUAUUGAACCGCAUGGUUCAAUAGUGAAAGACGGUUUUGCUGUCACUUAUAGAUGGAUCCGCGCCGCAUUAGCUAGUUGGUAAGGUAACGGCUUACCAAGGCAACGAUGCGUAGCCGACCCGAGAGGGUGAUCGGCCACACUGGAACUGAGACACGGUCCAGACUCCUACGGGAGGCAGCAGUAGGGAAUCUUCCGCAAUGGGCGAAAGCCUGACGGAGCAACGCCGCGUGAGUGAUGAAGGUCUUCGGAUCGUAAAACUCUGUUAUUAGGGAAGAACAUAUGUGUAAGUAACUAUGCACGUCUUGACGGUACCUAAUCAGAAAGCCACGGCUAACUACGUG
rnacentral:rRNA from 1 species